rnacentral:rRNA from 1 species
GAUGAACGCUGGCGGCGUGCCUAAUACAUGCAAGUCGAGCGAACAGACGAGGAGCUUGCUCCUCUGACGUUAGCGGCGGACGGGUGAGUAACACGUGGAUAACCUACCUAUAAGACUGGGAUAACUUCGGGAAACCGGAGCUAAUACCGGAUAAUAUAUUGAACCGCAUGGUUCAAUAGUGAAAGACGGUUUUGCUGUCACUUAUAGAUUGAUCCGCGCCGCAUUAGCUAGUUGGUAAGGUAACGGCUUACCAAGGCGACGAUGCGUAGCCGACCUGAGAGGGUGAUCGGCCACACUGGAACUGAGACACGGUCCAGACUCCUACGGGAGGCAGCAGUAGGGAAUCUUCCGCAAUGGGCGAAAGCCUGACGGCGCAACGCCGCGUGAGUGAUGAAGGUCUUCGGAUCGUAAAACUCUGUUAUUAGGGAAGAACAAAUGUGUAAGUAACUAUGCACGUCUUGACGGUACCUAAUCAGAAAGCCACGGCUAACUACGUG